rnacentral:rRNA from 1 species
GACGAACGCUGGCGGCGUGCCUAAUACAUGCAAGUCGAACGCUGAAGGAGGAGCUUGCUUCUCUGGAUGAGUUGCGAACGGGUGAGUAACGCGUAGGUAACCUGCCUGGUAGCGGGGGAUAACUAUUGGAAACGAUAGCUAAUACCGCAUAAUAGUAGAUGUUGCAUGACAUUUGCUUAAAAGGUGCAAUUGCAUCACUACCAGAUGGACCUGCGUUGUAUUAGCUAGUUGGUGGGGUAACGGCUCACCAAGGCGACGAUACAUAGCCGACCUGAGAGGGUGAUCGGCCACACUGGGACUGAGACACGGCCCAGACUCCUACGGGAGGGAGCAGUAGGGAAUCUUCGGCAAUGGACGGAAGUCUGAACGAGCAACGCCGCGUGAGUGAAGAAGGGUGUCGGAUCGUAAAGCUCUGUUGUAAGAGAAGAACGAGGGUGAGAGUGGAAAGUUCACACUGUGACGGUAUCUUACCAGAAAGGGACGGCUAACUACGUG